GACCGGGAGCAGCGGCCGCAGGUCCGGGCGCCAUGGCUGCGGAGCGGACCCGGCCGCUGCAAGGCUCUGGCGGUCCGAGCGUGCCUAGUAGCUGUGAACCCGGCGCGAGGUCCCGGGCCCCGGGGCGCUCGCUCAGGUCAGUGCCGCGCGGAACACGAUUCCGAGAGCAAGGGACCUGGGAGCAACGAAUGGGUUGAUGGGAUCUGGAUUUUAGAGACGGGAAAACAGGGUUUUGGAGUUACUGCCUCCUACUGCCUCCAUUUCCUUAGCUGCGAAAUGAGUUAACAGUGAUGUCCCAGGGCUACCAAACGUUUGAAAGACGAUGAAGUGUGAUGAGGUGGUUUAUGAAGUACAAAGCGCUAUACUGCGCCAUAAUUGUGGGUAUGCCAUGAAAACAGGUAAAUUUUUCCAUAACCUUAUGGAGAGAAAGGACUUUGAGACAUGGCUUGAUAACAUUUCUGUUACGUUUCUUUCUCUGACGGACUUGCAGAAAAAUGAAACUCUGGAUCACCUGAUUAGUCUGAGUGGGGCAGUCCAGCUCAGGCAUCUCUCCAAUAACCUAGAGACUCUCCUCAAGCGGGACUUCCUCAAACUCCUUCCCCUGGAGCUCAGUUUUUAUUUGUUAAAAUGGCUCGAUCCUCAGACUUUACUCACAUGCUGC
rnacentral:sRNA from 1 species